rnacentral:tRNA from 1 species
AGGGAUUUAAGUUAAACAAAACUAAUAGCCUUCAAAGCUUUAAUUGAUAAAAAUCAAUCCUUA